rnacentral:rRNA from 1 species
ACGAACGCUGGCGGCGUGCUUAACACAUGCAAGUCGAACGGGAUUUAGUAGACAGAAGCCUCGGCUAAAGAUUACUAAUGAGAGUGGCGAACGGGUGAGUAACGCGUGAGCAACCUGCCUAUGACAGUGGGAUAGCCUCGGGAAACCGGGAUUAAUACCGCAUAAAAUCGUAGAAACACAUGUUUUAACGGUCAAAGAUUUAUCGGUCAUAGAUGGGCUCGCGUCUGAUUAGCUAGUUGGUGAGAUAACAGCCCACCAAGGCGACGAUCAGUAGCCGGUCUGAGAGGAUGAACGGCCACAUUGGAACUGAGACACGAUCCAAACUCCUACGGGAGGCAGCAGUGGGGAAUAUUGCACAAUGGGGGAAACCCUGAUGCAGCGACGCCGCGUGAACGAAGAAGGUAUUCGUAUCGUAAAGUUCUGUCCUAUGGGAAGAUAAUGACAGUACCAUAGAAGAAAGCUCCGGCUAAAUACGUG